GUAGAUGUACUCCCUUACCACUUCCAGUGCCUCGCUACCUAUCGUAAAGUGCUGUUUUCAUCCGAGACUGUUAAGCAUUACUUCAGUUUUCUGCAGAUUAAUUUUUAGACCCACCCUUCGGCUUUGCCUUUCCAGGCUGGCCCCCCCGAGUACAACGCCGGUCUCGCAGUACCCGUCGGGUCUCCCACCGGGAGGCCCUGGUGCAACUCCUGGCCGAUAACUAUGCUUGGAGUGUUGCGCAGAUCGGCGAAACAAAUGAAGCCCUUGGCUGCUUAUAUGGUGGAGCAUAAUAGACUGACAGUAGACAGAGAACAUCGACCUGAUUGUGCGCCGCUGGCGGAAUCUGCGCGACACAUUUGCCAGGAAGAUAAAGGAGUUGGCCAAGAAGAGCGGAGCAGGAGCAGGAGAACCUGUUUCAAAGUGGAAGUACUUCGACCUCAUGCUCUUCCUGAGGGACAUUGUAGAACCACGCCCGUAUGUUUUAAAUUCCUGUUCUGCAUGAAACACUAUCUUGCAAGGGGUUUUGAAUGCAGAAUACCAAUGUAUACUGUUGUGCAGCAUGUGAGUGAGCAAAAGGUACACUGUUAAAAUUUGUGAAGCCACAGCAGUCGUUGUUAAUAACACUUGUCGUUGGGCUAGUUCGUGCAUGCUUCUUAGCAAUGAAAAUGAUGCAACAAACAAAGGAAGCCGGGUAAAAGGAAAGAGCGUCUACUAUUCCCCGAUCAUGUAAAAAGUUCAUACCUUAUGAUGUGGCCCAUUAAACAGUCGUUAAGAGAGGUAUUGCCUCUGUGGUUUUGGAAGGCGCACUGGUGAGAUCUUGCCCUCACAGGAUGGCAGAAAGCUUUGACAGGUCAACUGGCUUUACUCAGCCGGGUAUCUUUGCUCCAUCAUAUGUGCAGUAGCUGAAACCUUACUUCAAAAAUUGAAAGGAAAAAAGAAGGAAUGGCAUUGGAUGGAAAAAAGGCCAAUAGUACCUUACGUACGUAAAGUCGCGCAUGACCUGGAGAAGGUAGCUAAUUGGUACAAGGUAUCUCUGGUCUUCUCUGCGCAAAGGAAUUUGUUGGGUCUGUGCCCGCGGAUUUCAAAAGCACUCACGCCACGUAUAUUUGGUAAGAGGCAUGCAAGGCCCCAAGUCACCUGUGCGGCGGGUAUGGUUGACAAAAUUCCACUCAGCUGCGGCAAGGUUUACAUCAGCCAAACGGGGCGAUGUGUUAGUGUCAAAACUCUACAACAUGAAUGUUCCGUUAAGAAUAACCACUCAGGACAUUUACCUGUGCACUGUGAAUCCUGUCAUUGUAAGGCAAGAUUUAAAAGGAUCGCCAUUAUAGGCAGAAGCAACGAGGGGCUGGCAUGAGAAAUGGAGGCAUACUAGAUAGAAAAAAGAUCUGUAUUAGCGAUCCGUCAGAAGUGUUGCACAGUGCUGAGCUUGAAUUCUUCAGAUGCUUCUCAAACUAGCACAUGUCUGAUAUUGACAGAUUUAUGGUGGUAUGAUGCAUGGAUCCUUGCUGCGCAUGCAAGGCGUGGCUACACAUUGCGACGUUUUCAUGGAGUAAAGUUAGUUGCAAGUGGCGCACUUUCCUUUCACCUGUCUUGGUGUGUUGCGUCGUUUUCAUUGCGAGAAGCAGUGACUGUGCCUUUGAAUGCUUUCAGUACACACAGGUAAUCAAAAAGUACUUUUUGUUCUGCUUUUAAAUGGCAUUGUG